UACGAAGGGGGCUAGCGUUGUUCGGAAUUACUGGACGUAAAGCGCACGUAGGCUGUGUCGCAAGUCAGGGGUGAAAUCCCAGAGCUUAACUCUGGAACUGCCUUUGAAACUGCGAUGCUAGAAUCUCAGAGGGGGUAGCGGAAUUCCAAAUGUAGGGGUGAAAUCCGUAGAUAUUUGGAGGAACACCGGUGGCGAAGGCGGCUACCUGGAUGAGUAUUGACGCUGAGGUGCGAAAGCGUGGGGAUCAAACAGGAUUAGAUACCCCGGUAGUCC
rnacentral:rRNA from 1 species